GGUCCUACGGGGGGCAGCAGUGGGGGAUAUUGCACAAUGGGGGGAACCCUGAUGCAGCGACGCCGCGUGAGUGAAGAAGUAUUUCGGUAUGUAAAGCUCUAUCAGCAGGGAAGAAGAAAGACGGUACCUGAGUAAGAAGCCCCGGCUAACUACGUGCCAGCAGCCGCGGUAAUACGUAGGGGGCAAGCGUUAUCCGGAUUUACUGGGUGUAAAGGGAGCGUAGACGGCGAUGCAAGUCUGAAGUGAAAGGCGGGGGCCCAACCCCCGGACUGCUUUGGAAACUGUAUGGCUGGAGUGCAGGAGGG
rnacentral:rRNA from 1 species